AUCGCUUCUUGGCCUUUUGGCUAAGAUCAAGUGUAGUUAAUAUCUGUUUUUAUCCAUUUAAUAUCUCAUACAUCCUCUAUCUGAAGACAAUAUAUUAAAUGGAUUUUUAGAAGUCGGAGUUGGAACAGGAGCUUGCUCCAUCCACUCCACGAAUUGACCUGGUAUUGCAUUAUCUCCAGAAAUGGUACAUACAGC